UACGGAGGGUGCAAGCGUUGUUCGGAAUUACUGGGCGUAAAGCGCGCGUAGGCGGCUUAGCAAGUUGAGAGUGAAAUCCCGGGGCUCAACCUCGGAACUGCUCUCAAAACUGCUAAGCUAGAGAAUGGUAGGGGACAGUGGAAUUCUUAGUGUAGAGGUGAAAUUCGUAGAUAUUAAGAGGAACACCAGUGGCGAAGGCGACUGUCUGGGCCAUUUCUGACGCUAAGGCGCGAAAGCGUGGGGAGCAAACAGG
rnacentral:rRNA from 1 species